GCCGGCUUAGCUCAGCAGGUAGAGCAGAUGAUUUGUAAUCAUCAGGUCACCAGUUCGAUUCCGGUAGCCUGGCACCA
rnacentral:tRNA from 1 species